rnacentral:rRNA from 1 species
UGGGGAAUAUUGCACAAUGGGGGAAACCCUGAUGCAGCAACGCCGCGUGAAGGAUGAAGGUUUUCGGAUCGUGAACUUCUAUCAACAGGGACGAAACAAAUGACGGUACCUGAAUAAGAAGCCCCGGCUAACUACGUGCCAGCAGCCGCGGUAAUACGUAGGGGGCAAGCGUUAUCCGGAAUUACUGGGUGUAAAGGGAGCGUAGGCGGCACGUCAAGCCAGAUGUGAAAGCCCGGGGCUUAACCCCGUGGAUUGCAUUUGGAACUGGCGAGCUAGAGUACAGGAGAGGAAAGCGGAAUUCCUAGUGUAGCGGUGAAAUGCGUAGAUAUUAGGAAGAACACCAGUGGCGAAGGCGGCUUUCUGGACUGAAACUGACGCUGAGGCUCGAAAGCGUGGGGAGCAAACAGGAUUAGAUACC